rnacentral:rRNA from 1 species
GCUCAGAUUGAACGCUGGCGGCAGGCCUAACACAUGCAAGUCGAGCGGCAGCGGGUCCUUCGGGAUGCCGGCGAGCGGCGGACGGGUGAGUAAUGCCUAGGAAUCUGCCUGGUAGUGGGGGAUAACGUUCGGAAACGGACGCUAAUACCGCAUACGUCCUACGGGAGAAAGUGGGGGAUCUUCGGACCUCACGCUAUCAGAUGAGCCUAGGUCGGAUUAGCUAGUUGGUGGGGUAAAGGCUCACCAAGGCGACGAUCCGUAACUGGUCUGAGAGGAUGAUCAGUCACACUGGAACUGAGACACGGUCCAGACUCCUACGGGAGGCAGCAGUGGGGAAUAUUGGACAAUGGGCGAAAGCCUGAUCCAGCCAUGCCGCGUGUGUGAAGAAGGUCUUCGGAUUGUAAAGCACUUUAAGUUGGGAGGAAGGGCAGCUAGCUAAUACCUGGUUGUUUUGACGUUACCAACAGAAUAAGCACCGGCUAACUUCGUGCCAGCAGCCGCGGUAAUACGAAGGGUGCAAGCGUUAAUCGGAAUUACUGGGCGUAAAGCGCGCGUAGGUGGUUCAGCAAGUUGGAGGUGAAAUCCCCGGGCUCAACCUGGGAACUGCCUCCAAAACUACUGAGCUAGAGUACGGUAGAGGGUAGUGGAAUUUCCUGUGUAGCGGUGAAAUGCGUAGAUAUAGGAAGGAACACCAGUGGCGAAGGCGACUACC